rnacentral:rRNA from 1 species
GACGAACCGUGCGAACGUUAUUCGGAAUCACUGGGCUUAAAGCGCGUGUAGGCGGGGCGGCACGUCGGUCGCUGAAAUCCCCCGGCUUAACCGGGGAACUGGCGUCGAUACGACCGCCCUCGAGGGGCGUAGGGGGACCUGGAACUUCCGGUGGAGCGGUGAAAUGCGUUGAGAUCGGAAGGAACGCCCGUGGCGAAAGCGAGGUCCUGGACGCCUACUGACGCUGAGACGCGAAAGCCAGGGGAGCGAACGGG